rnacentral:rRNA from 1 species
ACGUUACCGACAGAAUAAGCACCGGCUAACUCUGUGCCAGCAGCCGCGGUAAUACAGAGGGUGCAAGCGUUAAUCGGAAUUACUGGGCGUAAAGCGCGCGUAGGUGGUUUGUUAAGUUGGAUGUGAAAGCCCCGGGCUCAACCUGGGAACUGCAUCCAAAACUGGCAAGCUAGAGUACGGUAGAGGGUGGUGGAAUUUCCUGUGUAGCGGUGAAAUGCGUAGAUAUAGGAAGGAACACCAGUGGCGAAGGCGACCACCUGGACUGAUACUGACACUGAGGUGCGAAAGCGUGGGGGAGCAAACAGGAUUAGAUACCCUGGUAGUCCACGCCGUAAACGAUGUCAACUAGCCCUUGGGAAUCCUUUGAGAUUUUUAGUGGCGCCCAGGCUAACGCCAUUUAAGUUUGACCCGCCUGGGGGAGUACGGCCGCAAAGGGUUAAAACUCAAAAUGAAUUGACCGGGGGCCCGCCACAAGCCGGUGGAGCCAUGUGGUUUAAUUCGAAGCAACGCGAAGAACCUUACCAGGCCUUGACAUGCAGAGAACUUUCCAGAGAUGGAUUGGUGCCUUCGGGAACUCUGACACAGGUGCUGCAUGGCUGUCGUCAGCUCGUGUCGUGAGAUGUUGGGUUAAGUCCCGUAACGAGCGCAACCCUUGUCCUUAGUUACCAGCACGUUAUGGUGGGCACUCUAAGGAGACUGCCGGUGACAAACCGGAGGAAGGUGGGGAUGACGUCAAGUCAUCAUGGCCCUUACGGCCUGGGCUACACACGUGCUACAAUGGUCGGUACAGAGGGUUGCCAAGCCGCGAGGUGGAGCUAAUCUCACAAAACCGAUCGUAGUCCGGAUCGCAGUCUGCAACUCGACUGCGUGAAGUCGGAAUCGCUAGUAAUCGCGAAUCAGAAUGUCGCGGUGAAUACGUUCCCGGGCCUUGUACACACCGCCCGUCACACCAUGGGAGUGCGGAUCACGCAGCCGUCUGCAGAGUUUGUGUGCGGCUCCGCCGCGCGCGACAGUGUAUCCCUUACGGCC